rnacentral:rRNA from 1 species
GUGGGGAAUAUUGCACAAUGGGGGAAACCCUGAUCCAGCGACGCCGCGUGAGUGAAGAAGUAUCUCGGUAUGUAAAGCUCUAUCAGCAGGGAAGAAAGAAAUGACGGUACCUGAGUAAGAAGCCCCGGCUAACUACGUGCCAGCAGCCGCGGUAAUACGUAGGGGGCAAGCGUUAUCCGGAAUUACUGGGUGUAAAGGGAGCGUAGACGGCGGUGUAAGUCUGGAGUGAAAGGCGGGGGCCCAACCCCCGGACUGCUCUGGAAACUAUACGGCUGGAGUGCAGGAGAGGUGAGCGGAAUUCCUAGUGUAGCGGUGAAAUGCGUAGAUAUUAGGAGGAACACCAGUGGCGAAGGCGGCUCACUGGACUGUAACUGACGUUGAGGCUCGAAAGCGUGGGGAGCAAACAGGA